rnacentral:rRNA from 1 species
GAUGAACGCUAGCGGCAGGCCUAACACAUGCAAGUCGAACGAACUCUUCGGAGUUAGUGGCAGACGGGUGAGUAACGCGUGGGAACAUACCUUUCGGUACGGAACAACAGUUGGAAACGACUGCUAAUACCGUAUGCGCCCUAUGGGGGAAAGAUUUAUCGCCGAGAGAUUGGCCCGCGUUGGAUUAGCUAGUUGGUGGGGUAAUGGCCUACCAAGGCGACGAUCCAUAGCUGGUCUGAGAGGAUGAUCAGCCACACUGGGACUGAGACACGGCCCAG